GUCUCUUACAAAUUCAGAUAAAAAAUCUCUCUGUUACAGAUUUCUUCUAAGUUAUUUUCUAAUUUAACAGAAGAUAAGCAUGAUGUUGUUUGGUUCUGGCUAGAGAAGAGCAAGCCACAUGAAUGCCCAGUAUGCACACAGUAUUUUGUGGUCAUAAUUAUGUUCCAACUGUCAGAAUCCAAAUUCCAAUCCAAUCUCAUACAAAUGUUGGAGCACCUACCAAGCUACCUAUGUAAUUUUGUUCCACAAACUGUCUUUGUUUUUCAUUUCUUGCAAACUACUCCUGUAACUUUGUUCCACAAAUGAAUGUAAUAUACUAUUACGCAUGUCAUGUUAAUAUUUAGUUUAAUCA